rnacentral:rRNA from 1 species
AGAGUUUGAUCAUGGCUCAGAUUGAACGCUGGCGGUAUGCUUAACACAUGCAAGUCGAACGGUAACGAUGCUAGCUUGCUAGCAGGCGACGAGUGGCGGACGGGGGAGUAACGCGUGGGAAUCUACCUUUUAGUUCGGGACAGCCUGGUGAAAACCAGGCUAAUACCGAAUGAGGUCUACGGACGAAAGCAGGGGAUCUUCGGACCUUGCGCUAUUAGAUGAGCCCGCGUUAGAUUAGCUAGUUGGUGGGGUAAAGGCCUACCAAGGCGACGAUCUAUAGCUGGUCUGAGAGGACGAUCAGCCACACUGGGACUGAGACACGGCCCAGACUCCUACGGGAGGCAGCAGUGGGGAAUAUUGGACAAUGGGGGCAACCCUGAUCCAGCAAUACCGCGUGUGUGAAGAAGGCCUGCGGGUUGUAAAGCACUUUCAAUUGUGAAGAAAAGAUUAAGGUUAAUAACCUUAGUCCUUGACGUUAACUUUAGAAGAAGCACCGGCUAACUCCGUGCCAGCAGCCGCGGUAAUACGGAGGGUGCGAGCGUUAAUCGGAAUUACUGGGCGUAAAGCGUGCGUAGGCGGUUAUUUAAGUCAGAUGUGAAAGCCCAGGGCUUAACCUUGGAACUGCAUUUGAAACUGGAUAACUAGAGUUUGGUAGAGGUGAGUAGAAUUCCUAGUGUAGCGGUGAAAUGCGUAGAUAUUAGGAGGAAUACCAGUGGCGAAGGCGGCUCACUGGACCAAAACUGACGCUGAGGCACGAAAGCGUGGGGAGCAAACGGGAUUAGAUACCCCGGUAGUCCACGCCGUAAACGAUGUCAACUAGUCGUUGGGCCUUUCGGGGCUUAGUGACGCAGCUAACGCGUGAAGUUGACCGCCUGGGGAGUACGGCCGCAAGGCUAAAACUCAAAUGAAUUGACGGGGGCCCGCACAAGCGGUGGAGCAUGUGGUUUAAUUCGAUGCAACGCGAAGAACCUUACCUACCCUUGACAUCAUCAGAACUUGUUAGAGAUAACUCGGUGCCUUCGGGAACUGAAUGACAGGUGCUGCAUGGCUGUCGUCAGCUCGUGUCGUGAGAUGUUGGGUUAAGUCCCGUAACGAGCGCAACCCUUAUCCUUAGUUGCCAGCACAUAAUGGUGGGAACUCUAGGGAGACUGCCGGUGAUAAACCGGAGGAAGGUGGGGACGACGUCAAGUCAUCAUGGCCCUUAUGGGUAGGGCUACACACGUGCUACAAUGGCCAGUACAGAGGGUUGCGAACUCGCGAGAGUAAGCUAAUCCCAGAAAGCUGGUCCUAGUCCGGAUUGGAGUCUGCAACUCGACUCCAUGAAGCUGGAAUCGCUAGUAAUCGCGGAUCAGAAUGCCGCGGUGAAUACGUUCCCGGGCCUUGUACACACCGCCCGUCACACCAUGGGAGUGGGUUGCAAAAGAAGUGGGUAGACUAACCUUCGGGAGGUCGCUCACCACUUUGUGAUUCAUGACUGGGGUGAAGUCGAAACAAGGUUA